AGCCAAUCCCAGAAACCCUAUCUCAGUCCGGAUUGGAGUCUGCAACUCGACUCCAUGAAGUCGGAAUCGCUAGUAAUCGCAGAUCAGCAUUGCUGCGGUGAAUACGUUCCCGGGCCUUGUACACACCGCCCGUCACACCAUGGGAGUUUGUUGCACCAGAAGCAGGUAGCUUAACCUUCGGGAGGGCGCUUGCCACGGUGUGGCCGAUGACUGGGGUGAAGUCGUAACAAGGUAGCCGUAUCGGAAGGUGCGGCUGGAUCACCUCCUUU
rnacentral:rRNA from 1 species